rnacentral:lncRNA from 1 species
ACCAUUCUCCUCCACCACCAUCGCCGACAUACGUAUACAAGUCACCACCUCCUCCAUCACCCAAAUACGUGUACAAAUCACCACCUCCUCCAUCACCUAAAUACGUGUACAAGUCGCCACCCCCUCCAUCACCUGAAUAUGUGUACAAGUCCCCACCCCCUCCAACCCCAACUUACGUGUACAAGUCACCACCACCUCCAUCACCUGAAUACGUAUACAAGUCCCCACCACCUCCAUCACCGAAGUACGUGUAUAAAUCCCCCCCACCGCCACCAUACUACUACAAGUCCCCCCCACCUCCAUCACCUGAGUACGUAUACAAGUCUCCCCCACCUCCAUCCCCAAAGUACGUGUACAAGUCCCCGCCCCCUCCAUCACCUGAAUACGGGGACAAGUCCCCACCACCUCCCUCACCCGAAUACGUGUACAAGCCCCCACCCCCUCCAUCACCUGAAUACGGGGACAAGUCCCCACCACCUCCCUCACCCGAAUACGUGUACAAGCCCCCACCCCCUCCAUCACCUGAAUACGGGGACAAGUCCCCACCACCUCCCUCACCCGAAUACGUGUACAAGCCCCCACCCCCUCCAUCACCUGAAUACGGGGACAAGUCCCCACCACCUCCCUCACCCGAAUACGUGUACAAGCCCCCACCCCCUCCAUCACCUGAAUACGGGGACAAGUCCCCACCACCUCCCUCACCCGAAUACGUGUACAAGCCCCCACCCCCUCCAUCACCUGAAUACGGGGACAAGUCCCCACCACCUCCCUCACCCGAAUACGUGUACAAGCCCCCACCCCCUCCAUCACCUGAAUACGGGGACAAGUCCCCACCACCUCCCUCACCCGAAUACGUGUACAAGCCCCCACCCCCUCCAUCACCUGAAUACGGGGACAAGUCCCCACCACCUCCCUCACCCGAAUACGUGUACAAGCCCCCACCCCCUCCAUCACCUGAAUACGGGGACAAGUCCCCACCACCUCCCUCACCCGAAUACGUGUACAAGCCCCCACCCCCUCCAUCACCUGAAUACGGGGACAAGUCCCCACCACCUCCCUCACCCGAAUACGUGUACAAGCCCCCACCCCCUCCAUCACCUGAAUACGGGGACAAGUCCCCACCACCUCCCUCACCCGAAUACGUGUACAAGCCCCCACCCCCUCCAUCACCUGAAUACGGGGACAAGUCCCCACCACCUCCCUCACCCGAAUACGUGUACAAGCCCCCACCCCCUCCAUCACCUGAAUACGGGGACAAGUCCCCACCACCUCCCUCACCCGAAUACGUGUACAAGCCCCCACCCCCUCCAUCACCUGAAUACGUAUACAAGUCUCCACCACCUCCAUCACCGAAGUACGUGUAUAAAUCCCCACCACCGCCAC